CCUACGGGGGGCUGCAGUGGGGAAUAUUGGACAAUGGGCGAAAGCCUGAUCCAGCCAUGCCGCGUGUGUGAAGAAGGCCUUCGGGUUGUAAAGCACUUUCAGUGGGGAAGAAAGCCUUGGGGCUAAUACCCUCGAGGAAGGACAUCACCCACAGAAGAAGCACCGGCUAACUCCGUGCCAGCAGCCGCGGUAAUACGGAGGGUGCGAGCGUUAAUCGGAAUUACUGGGCGUAAAGCGCGCGUAGGCGGUCUGAUAAGCCGGUUGUGAAAGCCCCGGGCUCAACCUGGGAACGGCAUCCGGAACUGUCAGGCUAGAGUGCAGGAGAGGAAGGUAGAAUUCCCGGUGUAGCGGUGAAAUGCGUAGAGAUCGGGAGGAAUACCAGUGGCGAAGGCGGCCUUCUGGACUGACACUGACGCUGAGGUGCGAAAGCGUGGGUAGCAAACAGGAUUAGAACCCUAGUAGUC
rnacentral:rRNA from 1 species